rnacentral:rRNA from 1 species
UGCCAGCCGCCGCGGUAAUACGGAGGGUGCAAGCGUUAUCCGGAAUCACUGGGUUUAAAGGGUGCGUAGGCGGCGUUGUAAGUCAGAGGUGAAAGCCCACCGCUUAACGGUGGAACUGCCUUUGAUACUGCAAUGCUUGAAUCAGGCUGAGGUCAGCGGAAUGUGUCAUGUAGCGGUGAAAUGCAUAGAUAUGACAUAGAACACCAAUUGCGAAGGCAGCUGACUAGGCCAUUUUUGACGCUGAGAUACGAAAGCGUGGGUAGCAAACAGGAUUAGAUA